ACAAAGGAGUUUUUAAAACUCCACCUUCUUAUUUUAAUAAAAUGUAG
rfam:Cathartes aura contig113885, whole genome shotgun sequence.